ensembl:ncRNA asRNA:CR45044 antisense RNA:CR45044
GUUCUUUAAAUAAGGUGGCAUUCAAAUAAUAAUAAAUUAUAAUGUGAUUGAAAGGCGAUCCCAGAUAUAAGUGACCCUUAACUUCCAGCACGUGGGAUAUGCCCGAAGCUGAUCUGUCAAACCCAUGCAGGGAUCUCACAAUGUUUCCAUUCCAAUCCACACGCACCACAGUGCUACGCUUGGGAGCGUUCCUGAUGACCAAAUCGUUAAAGGAGUGAAAAAGACGAGCCGCAAUGUCAUUUGGAUAUAUAUGGUUCAGAACUCGAAGGGGAAGUCGCAUUAGAGCCACCAAACGAGCCAAAAAAGAUCUAAGCCUCGGAUAGGGCGCCAACACGGCGAACAAAUUGGGAUUCUGACUAUCUGAAGCCACAGACAGGGGCACCCAGAUUCCCUCUUCAUCCGCAGUGAGGUUAUCCGGGCAGCCGGGCAAACCCUCCACAAACACUUCGCUUUCACCGGCUCUUGAUCCUUUGAGAUAAUAUCUCCUCAGCCGCAUGGCCGUUGUUUCGGCAAGGAUAAUGAAAUCCUCACUGGGACUUAAGGCCAAGCCGUUGGCAAAGGACAACUCAUCGAGCAGUACCUCGUUUGUCUUCUUUACGCGAUCGUACCUGAAAAGUCUGAGGAAAGCCAAUAAACCCUUCUUAUAUGGUAGAUCUCUCCUUAGUUCGAACUCACCGACCCGACGGGUUGGCGAACGCAGCAAAGACAAAGUCCUCUGAAAAGGAAUCCGUCCAGAAUAUGUCACCCUGGCGGCUAAUUACCAGCGAAUUGAACAGCUUAGCCCGACGGUUUGCACCCUUGCCAGGAAGGAUCUGCUCCGCCGGCACCAGCACAGUCUUCUUCUUCGUUUCCAAGUCGACUUGCCAUAUGCCGUAGUAUGCAUCGGAUACAAUAAGAUUGUUUCCCUGGGUGUCCAGGGCUAAACCCACUGGAUAGCCGCACAACUCAUCGUCAAAUAUAUAAUCUACGGUGAAUAUCAAGGGCAUUAUGGAUACAAGUUGCCCCUACUCCUUUGUUACCACAAGGUUGCCCUAUUUUUGUGAUAGGUUGAACCGACUCCUCAUUGUUUAGUCGAAUAACCUCGCCGCUGUGAAUUCCUGUGUAAAUCUUGUCCUCGAGUACUAUGAGGCACUCGGGUCCAAAUAUUUGAUCUUUCCACAACUUCCGGGCGCCAUUUAAGUGAUUGUUCAGCUCCAGCGUUCCAUUCAGAUCUCUAGCUGGCUUUAUACUGGGAAACGCACGUAUAUAGAUUAUAUGGCUUGAUAGCAACUGAAGAAAAACAACUUACAAAUACUGUUCGAAGGGGAAAGUGGUGCUAGGAUAUAAGACAGGUAGCAGAAACAAGGACCCCAGGAAUAGGACCAAAAACAGGCUGGUUUUAAGCAAUGCAGCAAGAAAACCCAUUAUUAUUGACUGCGGUAACAAAGUUCAAUUGUCAAGGUAUUGUCAUAAUGAUUAGUUUGAUUUCGAAUUGGUCGAUAUAUAUGUACCCUGCUGAUUGGAGCUUUUAAAGUUAAUCAACAAACCAUUAGAUUAAAUUCAAUACAUUUUUAUUGGCAGAGGCAGAGCGUGCUUAACAUGUCGAUAUCCGCUUAAUCUGAGGCUUCUGCAUUGUACUUCAAUUACAGCUUUGACUCCUCCAUUCCCGUCUAGCUUCUUAGCCUAGUGAGUGAGAUAUCACGAUCGAUUCGGAACGCAUUGUCUAAGGCGGUAACUAAUCGGUUGCGAAGCGAAGUGCAGCCAAGUAUAAAACACUUCGAGAUACCGACUACGAAAACGAUUGGCCUACAAGCUAAAUACAAUAACAAAUACUGGCACUCAGGUAUCAACCAGGAUGUGCGUGAACAAACUGUGCAUUCGCCGCUCCAUUUCCGUGUACACCAGUGAGUUGAGUCCAUCCGCGUGCUGGCGCAGAGUCGCCGAUCUCAGCAGUGCCACGCGAUUGGCAUUCGGCUGCUCCUGUUUGUGCUUCAGCAUGGUGUACUUACUGAACUCCAUUGCGAAUCGGCAAAUGUCGAUAUUCAGGGCCUGCAGGCGCUCGUAGAGGUCAUCGUCCUCUCCGCCCCAGCCGUAAUACAGAUUGGACAUGCCGUUGAUCUGCUGGUACUGGGCGGUGUUGAUGGCCACCACGCCGCCGAAAAGACCGCGGUAAGGCAGUCGGAAUCGCCAGUGAUCCAGGGCAGAGCUCAUGUGCCGUGGACGUUCGGAGCAGGCAUAUAUUUGACCCGAAUUCAGUGGCAGGAGGUCCACGUCAUGAAGGAUGAGGCAGGGAAAUCCAUACUCCGCAGCCACCUGGGCGCCAAUGUUGAAGAGCAUCGCCCUGUUAAACGGCUUAUGAUCGAACUGUUCGACCAGGAAAAUCCGAUAGUGGAUCAGCUGCUGCGGCAGGUAAUUGUGCAUGUACGUGAGGAAGGCGUGCAGCUGCUCCUCCCGCUGCCUGUACGGCACAAUGAUGGCGGUGCUGUAGCGAGCCUGACAUCCUUCCGGACGGAACUCGCCGCCAGGACGGAUCUCCGCGCCCCUCUGCACCGCGUCAUGGUAAUGGGCCAGGUGGUAGACGAACCGGUUUUCGGCAAUGAUCUCCGAGUAGGUGCAUUCGAAAACUUCCUGCUGGGAGACAUUUCUGGUCACCUGCGGCACCAGAGCCCCCUCGAUCUUUGAUUCCUCGAUGUAGUCGUAGUGCGAUGCGAACCGGAAGGGCAGACACAGGUACACGAUGAGAGUGAUCAGUCCGAUGGCGAUGAGAAGAUCAUAUUUAUGGAAGCUGCGGACCCAGAGCCGCACGAACAUUGUUGGCAGGAAAAGUUGACUCAGUGCGAUCUUUGGAAACUCCGCAUCCUAAUUUCGGACGCAAUCUUCGCGGCCGGUUGGCGAAUAACAGCUGACGACCAGGGACGCAACGCAUAAACCAACAGACAGUGAAACUUCACCAGCUCGAAUUGUUUUUUUUUUGGUUUAUUUUCUCACAU